ACGUGGAGAUCACCUUCCUCCCCACAAAUACAUCAGAAAUACAUCUACAUGUGGAACAACCCCUACAGAACACCUACUGAACGCUGGCAGAAGACCUCAGACCUCCCAAAAGGCAAGAAACUCCCCAUGUACCUGGGUAGGGCAAAAGAAGAAAGAAAACACAGAGACCAAAGAAUAGGGACGGGACCUGCACAAGUGGGAGGGAGCCGUGAAGGAGGAAAGGUUUCCACACACUAGGAGCCCCUUCGCGGGCGGAGACUGCGGGUGGCGGAGGGGGGAAGCUUCGGAGCCGCGGAGGAGAGCGCAGCCACAGGGGUGCGGAGGGCAAAGCGGAGAGACUCCCGCACUUCCCGCACGGAGGCUCGGCGCUGACCAGCACUCACCAGCCCGAGAGGCUUGUCUGCUCACCCGCCGGGGCGGGCGGGGGCUGGGAGCUGAGGCUCGGGCUUUGGAGGUCAGACCCCAGGGAGAGGACUGGGGUUGGCGGCGUGAACACAGCCUGAAGGGGGCUAGUGCGCCACAGCUAGCCGGGAGGGAGUCCGGGAAAAGGUCUGCAGCUGCCGAAGAGGCAAGAGACCUUUUCUUCCCUGUUUCCUGGUGCGCGAGGAGAGGGGAUUCAGAGCGCCGCCUAAACGAGCUCCAGAGGUGGGCGCGAGCCGCGGCGAUCAGCGCGGACCCCAGAGACGGGCAGGAGACGCUAAGGCCGCUGCUGCCGCCACCAAGAAGCCUGUGUGUGAGCACAGGUCACUCUCCACACCGCCCCUCCAGGGAGCCGGUGCAGCCCGCCACUGCCAGGCUCCCGUGAUCCGGGGACAACUUCCCCGGGAGAACACACGGCGCGCCUCGGGCUGCUGCAACAUCACGCCGGCCUCUGACGCCGCAGGCUCGCCCCGCAUCCGUACCCCUCCCUCCCCCCGGCCUGAGUGAGCCAGAGCCCCCAGAUCAGCGGCUCCUUUAACCCCGUCCUGUCUGAGCGGAGAACAGACGCCCUCAGGCGACCUACACGCAGAGGCGGGGCCAAAUCCGAAGCUGAACCCCGGGAGCUGUGCGAACAAAGAAGAAAAAGGGAAAUCUCUCCCAGCAGCCUCAGAAGCAGCGGAUUAAAGCUCCACAAUCAACUUGAUGUACCUGCAUCUGUGGAAUACCGGAAUAGACAACGAAUCAUCCCAAAAUUCAGGCGGUGGACUUUGGGAGCAACUGUAGACUUGGGGGUUCCCCCAUGUCCAAACCCAACCCAAAGCCAGGAGACCUGCAAUCUCAUUGACGUGAUCCACAAAAGAAUGGAAUGUGUGUCUGCAGGGACAAGCUUGAAAUCUUUUCUUUUGUGGUUCCUGAGAAGUUUUCAUGUCAAAGACUUAUAAAAUGAGUCGAAGAGUGAACACUUUUGCUAUUGUCUGGAAGUGAUUGUGUAAGAUUGGAAUUCUUUAUUCUUGGAAUGCUUGGUGGAAGAGCUGUUAAAGCUUCUGGAGACUGGAGGAUGCUUUGUGGGAAGGUUUUCCAUUACUCACUCAAUUUUUUUAAACAGUUUGAGGAUUUUAAAAAAAUUUUUUCUUGCUAUCCGAUGCACUCCGCGACCUGUUCACCUGCUGUUUCCCAUUUAACCAUUAAGAAGAUCCCCUUGCAGAGGCUGAAGAGCUAUGGAAGCACCAGUAGCCAGUGUCCACAGGCAGCUGUCCUGGAGCUUCAGAACCAAACUGGCCAAGGACAUCGGUGCCAACCCAAAGGAGAAAUGGGUCCGGAAUUAUAUGAAACACCUGGGUCAGAAACCUCACACCCUGAAGACUUGGACUCUUUCGGCCACACUAAGACCGAGCCAGAGGCUGAGAAAUGAUUAUUCUCCCCCAGCCUUCCUGUCUCUAUCCUGGACUAAAUUGACCUGAAUUUUCAGAUAGGGUGCUUUCUGUUUCCUGAUGCAAAAUGUACUAUGUCUUAAGUAAUAUUGAGUAUUAUUUGAAUUGUGGCUGGUUGGGGAGUUAUUUUGAAUAUUGGUGAUCUCUUUUUUUAAAGCAGGGCCUUGAGCCACUUGGCUCCUGUCGUGAGCCCCAGCUCCUUCUCCUGUAAGCUGUGGGCAGUGGGUCUUUCUCCUGCCUAACUCCCCAGGGGUAAUGAGCAUGCCUAUGAGAGCCACGACGAUGAAGGGCUACUGCAAUCUAGGGAGGACAGCGCCUGGUGAAUGUGAGGUGUUGCUAAAUGUGUUAUUAUGGAAACAUGAAUGCAAUUGUAGGAUGGCUGACUUUUUGCAGAAAAUACAUUUUGCUUAAAAUCUCUGA